rnacentral:lncRNA from 1 species
GAGCCCGGCGAUGGCGGCUGCGCCGGCCUUGAAGCACUGGCGCACCACGCUGGAGCGGGUGGAGAAGUUCGUGUCGCCGCUCUACUUUACCGACUGUAACCUCCGCGGCAGGCUUUUUGGGGCCAGCUGCCCUGUGGCUGUGCUCUCCAGCUUCCUGACGCCGGAGAGACUUCCCUACCAGGAGGCAGUCCAGCGGGACUUCCGCCCCGCGCAGGUCGGCGACAGCUUCGGACCCACACAACUACGUGGGAUCGAGCAGCACCCUCUGCUGGGAGCAGCACCCUCUGCUGGGAACAGCUCUCUGGUCCCUGGGUCUUCAGGGGAUGGUUUUCAUUCCCACGUGGCCGCCUCUGGACAUCCCUUAGGAAGGGCACCCUAGGGAUCACGAACCUUUGACGCCUCUGCCUGUUUCCCUCAUCUUGCUUCUCACCUUGUUGCUCCUUUCUUGUGACUCAAAGCUGAGUACCUUGUGACACUGCAGAUGCUUGGAGAGUUUCAAGCCCCUGCCGACACUUUAUCCAAGGAAGGAUAUCAGGAUAGGACUUCUACCUCUAGGCCUAUCACAACAGCUCUCUUGCAGAUGGUGGACCUGCUGGUUCCGGGUGGAGCUGACCAUCCCAGAGGCAUGGGUGGGCCAGGAAGUUCACCUUUGCUGGGAAAGUGAUGGAGAAGGUCUGGUGUGGCGUGAUGGAGAACCUGUCCAGGGUUUAACCAAAGAGGGUGAGAAGACCAGCUAUGUCCUGACUGACAGGCUGGGGGAAAGAGACCCCCGAAGCCUCACUCUCUAUGUGGAAGUAGCCUGCAAUGGGCUCCUGGGGGCCGGGAAGGGAAGCAUGAUUGCAGCCCCUGACCCUGAGAAGAUGUUCCAGCUGAGCCGGGCUGAGCUAGCUGUGUUCCACCGGGAUGUCCACAUGCUCCUGGUGGAUCUGGAGCUGCUGCUGGGCAUAGCCAAGGGCCUCGGGAAGGACAACCAGCGCAGCUUCCAGGCCCUGUACACAGCCA